GAUGAACGCUGGCGGCGUGCCUAACACAUGCAAGUCGAACGGAGUCGUUUUGGAAAUCUCUUCGGAGAUGGAAUUCUCGACUUAGUGGCGGACGGGUGAGUAACGCGUGAGCAAUCUGCCUUUAAGAGGGGGAUAACAGUCGGAAACGGCUGCUAAUACCGCAUAAAGCAUUAAAUUCGCAUGUUUUUGAUGCCAAAGGAGCAAUCCGCUUUUAGAUGAGCUCGCGUCUGAUUAGCUAGUUGGCGGGGUAACGGCCCACCAAGGCGACGAUCAGUAGCCGGACUGAGAGGUUGAACGGCCACAUUGGGACUGAGACACGGCCAAGACUCCUACGGGAGGCAGCAGUGGGGAAUAUUGCGCAAUGGGGGAAACCCUGACGCAGCAACGCCGCGUGAUUGAAGAAGGCCUUCGGGUUGUAAAGAUCUUUAAUCAGGGACGAAACAAAUGACGGUACCUGAAGAAUAAGCGCCGGCUAACUACGUG
rnacentral:rRNA from 1 species